AAGUCGUAACAAGGUUUCCGUAGGUGAACCUGCGGAAGGAUCAUUACGAGAGUGCUCCGGACCCUCUCCCUCCCCGGGGGGAUGCGGGGUCCCUAGCCAUCACCCCCUGUUUAUCUACCUUCGUUGCUUUGGCGGGUCAGUUGGUCCCCCCGGGGAUCGUCCCGCCAUAAGCCCCCUUAAAAACUCUUUAAUUAAGAUUGUCUGAAUGUAUUUACAAAAUGCUGAAAACUUUUAACAACGGAUCUCUUGGCUCUG
rnacentral:misc_RNA from 1 species